rnacentral:rRNA from 1 species
UGCUAGUUGCACGAGUUUAGACUCGUAGCAUAUAGCUCAGUAACACGUGGCCAAACUACCCUACAGACCGCAAUAACCUCGGGAAACUGAGGCCAAUAGCGGAUAUAACUCUCAUGCUGGAGUGCAGAGAGUUAGAAACGUUCCGGCGCUGUAGGAUGUGGCUGCGGCCGAUUAGGUAGAUGGUGGGGUAACGGCCCACCAUGCCGAUAAUCGGUACAGGUUGUGAGAGCAAGAGCCUGGAGACGGUAUCUGAGACAAGAUACCGGGCCCUACGGGGCGCAGCAGGCGCGAAACCUUUACACUGCACGACAGUGCGAUAGGGGGACUCCGAGUGCGAGGGCAUAUAGCCCUCGCUUUUCUGAACCGUAAGGUGGUACAGGAACAAGGACUGGGCAAGACCGGUGCCAGCCGCCGCGGUAAUACCGGCAGUCCGAGUGAUGGCCGAUAUUAUUGGGCCUAAAGCGUCCGUAGCCUGCUGUGUAAGUCCAUUGGGAAAUCGACCAGCUCAACUGGUCGGCGUCCGGUGGAAACUACACAGCUUGGGGCCGAGAGACUCAACGGGUACGUCCGGGGUAGGAGUGAAAUCCUGUAAUCCUGGACGGACCACCAAUGGGGAAACCACGUUGAGAGACCGGACCCGACAGUGAGGGACGAAAGCCAGGGUCUCGAACCGGAUUAGAUACCCGGGUAGUCCUGGCUGUAAACAAUGCUCGCUAGGUAUGUCACGCGCCAUGAGCACGUGAUGUGCCGUAGUGAAGACGAUAAGCGAGCCGCCUGGGAAGUACGUCCGCAAGGAUGAAACUUAAAGGAAUUGGCGGGGGAGCACCACAACCGGAGGAGCCUGCGGUUUAAUUGGACUCAACGCCGGACAUCUCACCGGUCCCGACAGUAGUAAUGACAGUCAGGUUGACGACUUUACUCGACGCUACUGAGAGGAGGUGCAUGGCCGCCGUCAGCUCGUACCGUGAGGCGUCCUGUUAAGUCAGGCAACGAGCGAGAC